GAGCUGCUUCUAGCUAGCUUAUGACUAGGCAUUCUUGGUUCGUGAUGAAGAAGGAACAAUUCCAUUGCACGAUGCGGUAUAUGAAGAAGACUAGAGGUUGUGACAGAGCUUAUCAGACUGAAGCCUGAAAUUAUGGGGAUUCUUGACGAAGGGAAAACUAUGUUCCACUUCUGUGUUACAUACAACCACUUGGCGAUCCUAAAAGCGUAGGUGGAAUCGAAUAUUGGCUCCAAUGAGCUUCCCCAUUUGAAUGACCGGGAUGAAAAGACUGUUCUUGAUUUGGCUAUCAUGUUGAAGCAGGUUGGGAUCGUGAGGUACCUCCUUUCAAUUCGUAACAUAAGAGAAGCUGCAUGCUUGAAGAAGAGAUGGACUUUGCAGAUCAUCAUUUCAAAGACUUCAAAAGCCUUCAAAUCCAACUCAUGUUGACGAACACUGGGAUCCAAAUUGCUGAAAGGAGCCAAAUGGGAAGACCUCCUCAGCCACCACCAUUAGAAACUACUUUGGAGAAGGUUUGGAGAAAGAUUUCAGGGAUUAAGGAACCACAUAAUUCUAAUUGGUUGGAAGAGAUGAGGGGGAAUUUGAGUCUCGUGGCUACAAUGAUCUCAACCAUAAGCUUUCAAGCAAUGAUUAACCCUCUAGGUGGUUUCGUUCAACAAGGUAUACUUUCAGAUAACGAAACCUUCCAAUGCGUGACGUCAAUCGAUGGUUACUAUGCAUGCCCUGGAGAAUCAGUAUCAGCCAUUGUAUAUUUCACCCCUACAUAAAGUACAAUACUAUCUGUUUUAUUGGAUCUCUCAGUGUCGUUCUCUUGCUCGUAAGUGGAGUUUCUCUGAAGCAUAAAGCUGUGAUAUGGAUGUUAUCCAUUGGCAUGUGCAUCACCCUCACAUUUUUAUCACUCACAUAUCUUCAAGGCCUCUACAUGGUGAUUCCAGAGGGUAAAAUUUUUUCCUCAGCCAGGAAAAUGUUCAUAGCGUCAGUUUGGAGUUGGAUUGGAUUUCUAGCGGCUGUUGCUGUGUUCUUCACGUCGCGCUUCCUCUUUCGGCUAGUGACAAAAGUGAAGAACAUGUUCUGACGUCAGAUAACGUUUCAUCAAAUAAUGUAUUAAUUUGUUCUUUAAGUAAUAUGGAGCAAACGAACAUAUCAGAGCUGUUACUUAGAUUAUUGUCAUCGCAUGUUCUGUAACUUCUUUCUUCUUUGCAAA